rnacentral:rRNA from 1 species
AUUGUAAGCUUUUCCUGCACAAUGAGAAUUUAAAUAGCCGCAGUACUUUGACUGUGCUAAGGUAGCAUAAUCAUUUGGUCUUUAAUUGGGAUCUGGAAUGAAGGGAGCAACGUGAGAGAUUCUGUCUCUUUUAUAAUAAUCUUAACUUACUAAAAAGGUGAAAAUUCCUUUAUAAAAAGACGAGAAGACCCUUAGACUUUAGGCUAUAUAGAUCUGAUCUAAUCUCUUUUGUUGGGGCGACACAGAAACAUACUGUAAUAGAACUAAACUAAAAAAUAAAGUACCUAAGGGAUAACAGCAUAAUUAAUUUAUUAGAUUGUGACCUCGAUGUUGGACUAGGAAAAAAUUUUUUAGAUAAAAAUUUUAAUAAGUUCUGUUCGAACUAUAAUCUCCU